GAUGAACGCUGGCGGCGUGCCUAAUACAUGCAAGUCGAGCGAAUGGAUUAAGAGCUUGCUCUUAUGAAGUUAGCGGCGGACGGGUGAGUAACACGUGGGUAACCUGCCCAUAAGACUGGGAUAACUACGGGAAACCGGGGAUAAUAACGGAUAAUAUUUUGAAGUGAGUGGUGCAAAAUUGAAAGGCGGCUUCGGCCGGAACUUAUGGAUGGACCCGCGUCGCAUUAGCCAGUUGGUGAGGUAACGGCUCACCAAGGCAAGGAUGCGUAGCCGACCUGAGAGGGUGAUCGGCCACACUGGGACUGAGACACGGCCCAGACUCCUACGGGAGGCAGCAGUAGGGAAUCUACCGCAAUGGACGAAAGUCUGACGGAGCAACGCCGCGUGAGUGAUGAAGGCUUUCGGGUCGUAAAACUCUGUUGUUAGGGAAGAACAAGUGCUAGUUGAAUAAGCUGGCACCUUGACGGUACCUAACCAGAAAGCCACGGCUAACUACGUGCCAGCCGCCGCCGUAA
rnacentral:rRNA from 1 species